UCAAGCUAAUAAGGGCGCAAGGGGGAUGCCUUGGCAUUGGUAGCCGAUGAAGGACGUAGCGAUCUACGAUAAGCCACGGGAAGUCGAAAGCAGGCAAUGAUCCGUGGAUUUCCGAAUGGGGAAACCCGGCAGAGCAAUACUCUGUCAACUCCUUGUGAAUAAAAUAGCAUUGAGUAGGGAACCUCCUGAACUGAAACAUCUAAGUAGGGAGAGGAAAAGAAAUCAACCGAGAUUCCGCUAGUAGUGGCGAGCGAACGCGGAAGAGGCCAAACCAAGAGUAGUAAUACUUUUGGGGUUCGGACUGAGUACGGUAUUGACAAAGGUUAGUGGAAUGAAAUGGGAAGUUCAACCAUAGAGCGUGAGAGUCGCGUAUACGAAAACUUGAGUCAGCCAUCAGUAUCCAGAGUACCGCCGGACACGUGAAACCCGGUGGGAAUACGGGGGGACCACCCUCCAAGCCUAAAUACUCACCAAUGACCGAUAGUGUAUAGUACUGUGAAGGAAAGGUGAAAAGAACCCCUGGCGGGGAGUGAAAAAGAACCUGAAACCUUGUGCCUACAAGCACAUAGAGCACAUCAACGUGUGAUAUGGUACCUUUUGUAGAAUGGUCCGGCGAGUGAAUGUCACUAGCGAGGUUAAGGACUUAAGGUCUGCAGCCGAAGCGAAAGCGAGUCUUAAUAGGGCGCUAAUAGUUAGUGGUAUUCGACCCGAAACCGAGUGACCUAGCCAUGAGCAGGCUGAAGUGGAGGUAAAACUCCAUGGAGGGCCGAACCCACUCCCGUUGAAAUGGUAGGGGAUGACUUGUGGCUAGCGGAGAAAUUCCAAUCGAACUCGGAGAUAGCUGGUUCUCUCCGAAAUAGCUUUAGGGCUAGCCUCGAUUUAACAUUACCGGAGGUAAAGCACUGAAUGGGCUAGGGGCCGAGAGGUUACUGAACCCUAUCAAACUAAGAAUGCCGGAUAAUGAUAAUCGGGAGUCAGACAGUGUGAGAUAAGUUUCAUUGUCAAAAGGGAAACAGCCCAGACCCACAGCUAAGGUCCCAAAGUACAGUUAAGUGGUGAAGGAUGUGGAAUUGCAUAGACAACCAGGAUGUUGGCUUAGAAGCAGCCACUCAUUAAAAGAGUGCGUAAUAGCUCACUGGUCGAGUGAUUCUGCGCCGAAAAUUUAACGGGGCUAAACUGUACACCGAAGCUUGGGAUACAUCUAAUGUAUGGUAGGAGAGCGUUGUAUACGGGGUGAAGUCAGAGCGGAAGCGCUGGUGGACUGUAUACAAGUGAGAAUGCCGGAAUGAGUAGCGAGAAUUAUGUGAGAAUCAUAAUGGCCGAAAGACUAAGGUUUUAGAAGGAAGGUUCGUCCGCUUCUAGUCAGCCGGGAGCUAAGGCGAGGCCGAAAGGCGUAGUCGAUGCACAUACGGUGGAGAUUCCGUAGCCGCCAUUAAUUUAAACAGAGGGACACUUUCAAGGGGCAUGACCCGGGCGUUGGUAGACCCGGGCGUAAGGGACCGAAGAUUAGUAGGGAAGCAUGCUUUAAGGAAGGCGAGAAAAGCUCUGUGUAUAGAAGAUGGCGCCCGUACCGCAAACCGACACAGGUAGUCAGGAAGAGAAUUCUAAGGCCAACGGGAGAAGGGUUGUUAAGGAACUCGGCAAAUUGACCCCGUAACUUCGGAAUAAGGGGUGCUCACGAGAGUGAGCCGCAGUGAAUAGGUCCAGGCGACUGUUUAUCAAAAACACAGCUCUCUGCUAAAUCGAAAGAUGACGUAUAGGGGGUGACACCUGCCCGGUGCUGGAAGGUUAAGAGGAAGGGUGCAAGCUCUGAAUUGAAGCCCCAGUAAACGGCGGCCGUAACUAUAACGGUCCUAAGGUAGCGAAAUUCCUUGUCGGGUAAGUUCC
rnacentral:rRNA from 1 species